GGUUGCCCAACUGCCGGGAUAAGCCACACAACAUUCUCCCUAUCCGUUCCUGCAGCAGGUAUAUAUGCUCCUUCCUACUAGUAGUACUUAAAUCUGAAUCCCAGCGGGUAUGCGAUUGGUUUUCAGUUUUGCUGGACACAUAUCUGGAUUCGGAACUGACUAGAACAUGAUGAUUUUGUUAGCCCACUGAAGAAUUACCCAACACCUCAAUACUCUGCCACACUAUGUUGAGUUUUUUUAAUCAUGUGCGAGUUAAUUGAUACUACAAUAGUCUGUUUAGUCCUAGUUCUUUGCAGGACCUUGUUCUGUUAGACUCAGCAUAGAAGUAUGCUAUUCUUGCAGUGUCAUGAGGAAUAAACAUGCUGAUUUCAUAUGUCGUCCUAUGGAAGUCACCAGACUUUUUUUAUCAACACUAAUUUCAGAUAGAUAGGUGCUGCUUACCAUACCUAAGAGUGUAGCAUGCUGUGAAGGGAUACUCCAAAGUAGAAAAUUAAAAGAUGUUAGUAAAAUCAGUAUGCAUCCCUAGUGAUGCUUUAUCUUGUUAUUUUUGUCUAAGUGUUGUGCUGUAGCAUCACUGACUAGUAUGUUUUUUCUCAAGGUCUAUACAAGUGCCAUCUAUGUCUGGCAACAUAAGCCUCUUGUCAUGUCAUGUAUCUAUUAUCACGUUAAAUGUUUUAUUAAGUGAAUGUUGUAUUUCUUGAAAGCGUUGAUGUACUGAUGCGAACACUGGUUGUGUAGUUAUGACUAAUCAGUUUUCCCCUCUCUUAUAUAGGAGUUCCUAGGUCGAAGAAAUUCCAAGAAGCUCGAAGCCCCUGUCAGCGACUUGCUUUAUAUGUUAUUGAACUUGUAAUGCAGAAUUUUCUUGGAAUUUUGAUGUAAGGCUGAUCUUGGGAAUUGGGUGUAUAUUUACUUGCUGUACUUGUUAUUCAAAUGCUGGUUGUACUUGUUAUACAAAUGCUUGGAAUUUAAAUUUGUACUAAAUGUAUAUAUAGUACUGAAAGAGGCCUUGGCCCAAACGCUAC
rnacentral:lncRNA from 1 species